UACGACCGUAUCCCGUUAAAACAUCGGUUCCCGUACGUUGACAGAAAUUAAGCAACGUCGAGCCUUGACAGUACCUAGAUGGGUAACCGAUUGGGAACACCAGGUGCUGUAAG